UACGUAGGGCGCAAGCGUUAUCCGGAAUUAUUGGGCGUAAAGAGCUCGUAGGCGGUUUGUCGCGUCUGCUGUGAAAACCCGAGGUUCAACCUCGGGCCUGCAGUGGGUACGGGCAGACUAGAGUGCGGUAGGGGAGAUUGGAAUUCCUGGUGUAGCGGUGGAAUGCGCAGAUAUCAGGAGGAACACCAAUGGCGAAGGCAGAUCUCUGGGCCGUAACUGACGCUGAGGAGCGAAAGCAUGGGGAGCGAACAGG
rnacentral:rRNA from 1 species